rnacentral:rRNA from 1 species
AUUGAACGCUGGCGGCAGGCCUAACACAUGCAAGUCGAACGAGUGGCGGACGGGUGAGUAAUGUCUUGGAAACUGCCUGAUGGGGGGGGAUAACUACUGGAAACGGUAGCUAAUACCGCAUACCAUCAGAUUUGCCCCGAUGGGAUUAGCUAGUUGGUGGGGUACCGGCUCACCAAGGCGACGCUCCCUAGCUGGUCUGAGAGGAGAACCAGCCACACUGGAACUAGGACAGGGUCCAGACUCCUACGGAGGGAAGCAGUGGGGAAUAUUGGACAAUGGGCGAAAGCCUGAUGCAGACAGGCCGCGUGUAUGAAGAAGGCCUUCGGGUUGUAAAGUACUUUCAGCGGGGAGGCGUUACCCGCAGAAGAAGCACCGGCUAACUCCGUGCCAGCAGCCGCGGUAAUAC